AUAUUGGAAGCUUGCUUCCGAUAGGCGUCGACCGGCGCACGGGUGAGUAACGCGUAUCCUUCCUGCCCACCACUUGGGGAUAACCUUGCGAAAGUAAGACUAAUACCCAAUGACGUCUCUAGAAGACAUCUGAAAGAGAUUAAAGAUUUAUCGGUGAUGGAUGGGGAUGCGUCUGAUUAGCUUGUUGGCGGGGUAACGGCCCACCAAGGCGACGAUCAGUAGGGGUUCUGAGAGGAAGGUCCCCCACAUUGGAACUGAGACACGGUCCAAACUCCUACGGGAGGCAGCAGUGAGGAAUAUUGGUCAAUGGACGAGAGUCUGAACCAGCCGAGUAGCGUGAAGGAUGACUGCCCUAUGGGUUGUAAACUUCUUUUAUAAAGGAAUAAAGUCGGGUAUGGAUACCCGUUUGCAUGUACUUUAUGAAUAAGGAUCGGCUAACUCCGUGCCAGCAGCCGCGGUAAUACGGAGGAUCCGAGCGUUAUCCGGAUUUAUUGGGUUUAAAGGGAGCGUAGAUGGAUGUUUAAGUCAGUUGUGAAAGUUUGCGGCUCAACCGUAAAAUUGCAGUUGAUACUGGAUAUCUUGAGUGCAGUUGAGGCAGGCGGAAUUCGUGGUGUAGCGGUGAAAUGCUUAGAUAUCACGAAGAACUCCGAUUG
rnacentral:rRNA from 1 species